UGCGGCAUUCUGAGCAGGAAUGGCAGUGUGGACCUCUGUGAUGGGACAUCUUGUGGGAUCUCACAGCCAGUUCUGUGGCAAAGGAGGAUGAAGGCUUACGAGGACUCGUCAGGAAGCUGGAUAACAGAGCGAGCGCAAUGUAAGCAAUUUUGUGUGUGCAUGUGGUCCCAUUACAAGGAAUACCCAAUGGCAAAUGAGCACUAAAGAUCCCUCAACCCACACAUUGAAUGUAUUGUUCCCUGAGAGCAAUUGUAGAUAGAGGAGUGGGUGGGAAGUCUGAAGUCAGGGCAUUGUUUCUGCGUAUCUGAGGAGGCUGGUUUUUGAUAUGUGGGAGCUAGUGGUCGUUAACGCAUUUACCCCCUAUUUGGUGGACUCUGGUUCCCCCAUCUUAAGUGCUGAGUCAGGGGCCUAACCGGGCAGCUUUAACUAUUUGUUUGUUGUAGGUGCUAGAAUAGAAGACCAGAAAAUGAAAUGGUGGAGUUUGAGGCUGGAUAGACAGUUUGAAAGUUAACUGGUUGCAUGCUUGUUCAUUUGGCUGGCUUGCUUGGGUACAAAUAAUGGUUUGAAUAAAGAAAGGUAUUAAUGGGUCACCUCAAGUGAAGGCACUGCAAACACAAUGAUUGGUCAUUCUGAAUUUCCGGUCCUUCAUUCUGAAUUUCAAAGGCUCCUGUGACAAGUGGACAUGCAGUGACUGCACCUUUGUUUCUGAGGUGCCUGGAUGGAGGCUCAAAUAGAAGAUGGUGUCAGAUAUAUUGUGUUAAAAUUUUACCAUUAAAGUGUAUUAUAACAUGAA
ensembl:processed_transcript Gas5 growth arrest specific 5